CUGCAGGAGGACAGUGAGAAGCCAGUCUACCUCCGGUAUUCAGAACAAGAUAAGACAAUCAUGGAAGACAAUCAUCCUCAACUGUGAGGGAUUGCUGAAGAAGAAUUAACCUGUGGAACUCAUUGCCACCAUGAGAUGUUGUGGAAGCAGAUCGGUUCCUGACCUAGACUGAAUUAGGGUGUUUGGAUCCUGACCCAACUUCCCCACAGUUCAACAGAUGUCAGACCUGGUUUCAAAAACAUCUUCAGUGCAAAUUAUAUCAUAAUUCUCUUGAAAUUUUUCCUUGUUCACAAAUUACCCAGUAGACACCUGGUUAAUUUCCUGUAUGCAGAAUCUGUUGGGUACCCAG